GAUGAACGCUGGCGGCGUGCCUAAUACAUGCAAGUCGAGCGAAUGGAUUGAGAGCUUGCUCUUAUGAAGUUAGCGGCGGACGGGUGAGUAACACGUGGGUAACCUGCCCAUAAGACUGGGAUAACUCCGGGAAACCGGGGCUAAUACCGGAUAACAUUUUGAACCGCAUGGUUCGAAAUUGAAAGGCGGCUUCGGCUGUCACUUAUGGAUGGACCCGCGUCGCAUUAGCUAGUUGGUGAGGUAACGGCUCACCAAGGCAACGAUGCGUAGCCGACCUGAGAGGUGGAUCGGCCACACGGGGACUGAGACACGGCCCAGACUCCUACGGGAGGCAGCAGUAGGGAAUCUUCCGCAAUGGACGAAAGUCUGACGGAGCAACGCCGCGUGAGUGAUGAAGGCUUUCGGGUCGUAAAACUCUGUUGUUAGGGAAGAACAAGUGCUAGUUGAAUAAGCUGGCACCUUGACGGUACCUAACCAGAAAGCCACGGCUAACUACGUGCCAGCCGCCGCGGUAA
rnacentral:rRNA from 1 species